UACGGGGGGGGCAAGCGUUGUUCGGAAUUACUGGGCGUAAAGCGUGCGCAGGCGGUUUUGUAAGCCAGAUGUGAAAUCCCCGAGCUUAACUUGGGAACUGCAUUUGGGGCUGCAAGGCUAGAGUACGGCAGAGGGGGGUAGAAUUCCACGUGUAGCAGUGAAAUGCGUAGAGAUGUGGAGGAACACCGAUGGCGAAGGCAGCCCCCUGGGCUAACACUGACGCUCAUGCACGAAAGCGUGGGGAGCAAACAGG
rnacentral:rRNA from 1 species